GACGUAGGGGGCAAGCGUUGUCCGGAUUUAUUGGGCGUAAAGAGCGUGUAGGCGGCUUGGUAGGUCUGCUGUGAAAACUCGAGGCUCAACCUCGAGCUGUCGGCGGAAACCACUUGGCUAGAGUCCGGAAGAGGAGAGUGGAAUUCCUGGUGUAGCGGUGAAAUGCGCAGAUAUCAGGAAGAACACCUAUGGCGAAGGCAGCUCUCUGGGACGGUACUGACGCUGAGACGCGAAAGCGUGGGGAGCGAACAGG
rnacentral:rRNA from 1 species